rnacentral:rRNA from 1 species
UACGUAGGGUGCAAGCGUUGUCCGGAAUUAUUGGGCGUAAAGAGCGUGUAGGCGGCUCGGUAAGUCCGCUGUAAAAGUCCAGGGCUCAACCCUGGAAAGCCGGUGGAAACUGUCGAGCUAGAGUCCGGAAGAGGCGAGUGGAAUUCCUGGUGUAGCGGUGAAAUGCGCAGAUAUCAGGAGGAACACCAAUGGCGAAGGCAGCUCGCUGGGACGGUACUGACGCUGAGACGCGAAAGCGUGGGGAGCAAACAGG